AGUGAACGCUGGCGGCGUGCUUAACACAUGCAAGUCGAACGGACGAAAUAAGCUUGCUUAUUUCGUUAGUGGCGCACGGGUGAGUAAUGUAUAGCUAACCUGCCCUUUAGUGGGGGACAACAGUUGGAAACGACUGCUAAUACCCCAUACUCCUUCUUAUCAUAAGGUAAGUCGGGAAAGAUUUAUUGCUAAAGGAUGGGGCUUUAUUGUAUCAGCUUGUUGGUGGGGUAAUGGCCUACCAAGGCGAUGACGCAUACCUGGUCUGAGAGGAUGAUCAGGCACACUGGAACUGAGACACGGUCCAGACUCCUACGGGAGGCAGCAGUGGGGAAUAUUGCACAAUGGGGGAAACCCUGAUGCAGCAACGCCGCGUGGAGGAUGACGCAUUUCGGUGUGUAAACUCCUUUUAUAAGGGAAGAUAAUGACGGUACCUUAUGAAUAAGCACCGGCUAACUCCGUGCCAGCCGCCGCCGUAAUAC
rnacentral:rRNA from 1 species